GAGGCUGUGGCUCAGUGGUAGAGUAUUCACCUACCAAGCAAGAAGCCCUAGGUUCAGUUCCUAGUACUACCC
rnacentral:tRNA from 1 species